CCUCUCAAAAACAAGAAAAGAAGAGAAAAGUUGUUUUUGUUUUCUCUGCAUCGUAGGAAGUUGAGUGACGAACCUGUGGUUUAAUCUACAAGCAUAAAUGAAUUUUGCCAUGUGUUCAUUAUCAUCUUUUAUGAUUGCCUCUUCCUACUAUAAAAAUUUCCAAAGUAGAAAAAUAUUUAUUUGGCACCUGAACCUUUUGCAAGAAUUGGUGACUCAAGUACGAUAGAUGCAAUUCAAAAAAAUGAAUGUAUAGAGAAGAACAAGUUUAGAAGCUUAAUUACCUUACUUUGUACAGAUAAGUGAUAUGAGAUGUCUGGCCUUCCACCACAGAGAGUGACCCUGAAUUUUCUCUAAUGAUAUUAUUAUCAAUGAAUUUAUCAAAUAGCCUUGCUGUGGCUCCAAGAGAAUAACCUGCAAAGGACAUGUGGUUUUUGUAUUUAGUGUCAAUUUCAUUUAUGAAAUAAGCAGGGACUUCAGAAAUAACUAGCAAUAAUAUCGUGUGGUUUUCGUAGACAGUCAUUGUUCAUGGCCGCAAGAGCGGUACCAAAUUCAGACUCAACUCUGCAUAUAGAUUUUAGGAUGUUGUUAUCGUUGUAAUAACCAUGUACUAAAUGCCUGAACUUUGUUCUUUAUAUUCAUAGCUGGAAAAGUUGGGAGCAAGAAACUUCAACCUAUGGUUACGAGUUUUCAAAUGGUAUAUAUUUGCUUGCUGUAAAGCCAGAACUUUGUACAGUUGCUUGCUCUCUUUGUUUAUUUGCUCAUCUCUUUGUUAGGUUCAAUUGGUGUGAAUGGAAAAUGAAAAGUUUCUUGGAAUGGAAAAUGAAAAGUUGCUUGGAA